rnacentral:lncRNA from 1 species
GGAACUAGAGAAUCUCAUACUGAGUGAAAUGAGCCAGAAAGACAAAGGCAAAUACCAUAUGAUAUCACUUAUAACUGGAAUCUAAUAUCCAGCACAAAUGAACAUCUCCUCAGAAAAGAAAAUCAUGGACUUUGAAAAGAAUAGCCCAAUUAAAAAAAAAAAAUGCUGAUCAGCCUGUUGCCUCGGGAAGAAAAGGAGAGGAAGUUAGUCAUUGGCAAUUUGUUAGUUUACUGCCAGAGAUGCUUUGUUUCUUCAUUCUCCUUAAAAUCUCCAGAGGUGUGCCAUGUGUCUCUCCUUCCUGACCACGCCCCCUUCACCAAAAUAUAUAGCUGGACUUGUGAUUUAUAAGCUGUGAUAAUUUCUAAGAUGAAAAUUUUUCCAACACUUUAGACUUAGCCACAGUUUUCAUUUUCUGUGCAUAGCCCUAGCAGGGGUAAAAGUAUCAGCAUAUACUGCUCUGCUUCUCCCCCAUUGCCCGUAUCUUCUUCACUGUCAGCAAAACUUGGAUGGUUGCCCAAAGAGUCUAGAUGUUACUUCUACCUUGUGUCUCAGAAGAAGCAUACCACUUGUUUUUGUUUCAACAUUAGUCAUUAGUGUAUCCUUUUAAAAACUUGUACUUAUUUUGAAAUUUAAAUUGAUGAGCAUUUUCGGUAUUAGUAAUAGACUAUAUAUAAUUUUACUUAUAAAUUAUAGUGUACACACAUGCUGAAUUUAAUAUAUCUGUCCAAUAACCUGGGACAAUAAUUUUGAUCUGCAUUUCCUUUAGAGAGAGUAGCCGUCCUCAAUUUUAAACCAAGGUGACAUCUAGUAUCUGACUCCUUUAUUGACAAUUUCAGAAGAGUGGCCCUAGAUUGAAUCAGCUUUAACCACUCUUUCCAUUUAAGACACAUUGAGUUAUAUUGACAAGCCAAGGUGGCAUGAACAGAUGUUGCCACUAACUGUGGCGUCUGAUAUUUAGAAAACACAAGACCUCUACCACUGAUCAACCAAUUCAACAUUACUAAUUAAUUUGAGAUGCUCUAGUGGAAAAAAACUAUUUUCAACCCCAAAGAGCAGUAUUUGACAUAAGAGCUAUCAUUCAAGUACACUAUUACCCAUCCCCUAAAAUUUGACUUUGUCAGUAGCUAAAAUUUGAAAAGGAGGUAGUCCAGAAUAAUAUUAGCAUGUAGUUAAUAGUUACCAAUUAGUUCCUGAGAAGACUUGCUUUCUGGGUUAUUAAGAUAGAGAGGAUCCUUUGGGGUUGAUGCUGGACAGAAAUUAAUUUUUAUUGACAUUUAUAUCCUACCUCUGAGCUUUCAGAAAAUAAAAAUGGAAUCAAAUCAGGUCAGGCAAGUACAAAUGAGAAGAUAUUGCUGAAAACUGCAUGAGCACCUAAGCACCUAAACCCAAAUUAAACACAAGCAACUCUGAAUUGCAACCCCACCUGUGAAUCAUGCUGGGGGAGAAAAUACAGAGGGUUUAUUUAGAAAGUCUUGGCAGUAGGAAAGUAAGGGGGAAAAAGCUUCAAAAUUGCUAAUUUAUUUUGCUUAGGGGCUCAUCAAGACUAGUAGACACAGGAAGGAUUUCAGACUAUCUCAUAAAGUGGCUUACACUCAUUUGCAGAGCUGGACGUAUUAGUCUAGAAUCAAAACGUUAUUGCUUUUAGUCUCUGAGCAUAACUGAGCACAGCAUGCUAUAGAAAGAUUUCAGGCCGCCAAAACUCCUUGGCUUCAGCAGAUUUUUUAGCUUUUGCAAAUGACAAAAACAUGCAGAGUAGAAGCCAUCCUUUCAAGCAAGUUCCUGUUAGCUGAUCACCUUAAAUUACAAUUUAGAAGUUUGUUGCUGAAAGAGUUUAUUUUCCUCCUGAUCCUUCCCGAAACCCUCCUUCAUUACUUUAAAGGGAUGUAUUUCUCUCCAAGUAUCAUAUUCACACCAGAGUUCUAGCACUAAAACAAGAGUCAUUUCCCUGGAGGGUUGGUCGCUUUUGCAAAAGAAAUUUUCAUUAAAACACUAGUGUCUGUGACUCUCAAAAGUGAAAUAAAAUAUAAAGCUUGCUAGGCAUAAAAAUACCUGUUCUCCAAAUUGCAGGACUUCAGCUCUACAAUUUUGCUGCUAAGGCUGUUGAACAUUUUAAGGAGUGCUUCUAAUCCCCUUUAUAGCUCUGUGCUGAAUGCAGAAACACUGUUCUCUGGUGAGAGAGUGAUCUUGGAAGUGUUAAAAAGUGUCAGUUGGCUUUUGUGAGGUGAUGGAGAACUUCGUGAAUUUUUAUUACGUGCCCUACCCCAAAAAUAUGUGUCUGACCAGCAUUCUUUGAGGGAUCAUCUGUGAUGCUAGUCCAGAUCCCCAUCCUCAGAGGUAAGCUGCUGGGGUCUACCUGAAUUAAAUUUCCUUGACUUUAACUAUCAAACAAAUAAUCCCUGACUAGCUUUAUAAUGGAAGUAAAUGUUCCACAUUUUCGGGGAAGUAUUUUAGCAUCCAUAGUCUUUGAAGCAAAAACCAGUUCUUAGCUUCCAUACUGCUCUAAGGUAAGCUGCUUUCUUAUAAACGGGGAAACUAUGGACAUUUGCUAACUUUGUGGGUUGUGAAUCGAGGAAGAAUAGAAUCCCUGAAAUAAUCAAUUUGUUCACUUUGGUCACCAUUAUAAAAAGAGUAUGAUUCUAGAAACAAAUGUGGGCUAUAUUAGUCCAGUAUAAUUAACAUUGCUGAUUCUAUUUGUGAAAGAAUGCCUGAAAGUCAAUAAAACAAAAAUUACAAUCAAAAGCCAUAGGUAUUUGGGGAUUAUCAUUUCUUUUGUUUAAGCUUAUUGAGAUUUCCAGCUGCUUCCUCAAGUCAAAAAUAAAAUAAAUAAAACCCCAAACCCAAUACCUUAUUUUCUCCAUACACAUCUGAAAUUAUCACAUUAUCCAUGCAUAUUUCCAAUCUUAAUCUGAUUUGGAAAAGCAAAUUUGUGUUUCAUUCUCUGAUAAAAUUCUGGGUCAUUUGGUCCCUGUCCUAGUUUGCCUGUCUGAAAGUAGUUUUCACAUUCCUCUGUUCCAGCUCUGAUCCCUGUUCAAAAUGCAGCUCCCUUUCCAGGUCAUGAGUUUCUCACUGUCUCUGCUUAUGGCAACUUGCAUGAAGCCUGAAUAUGCAACGUAGGAGUUUCUUUGAGAAACGAAAAGCGUAUGUAAAUAGGAACAUUUGGAUCAAAGAGGAGGAAUUGCCAAAUAAAAAUCCAUUUUACCUUUUAUUAUGAUGUUACAAAACCCGAAUUAAUACUCAAAACAGAAAUAAACUGCCUAGAGAGACAAGCUACUUCAAGAUGAAUUUAAAACACACAGGCCAUGUACUGCUAAAGCUUAGGAAACAUCACUUACUCAGAGCACAUUGUGUUUUGAGUACUAGUGGUCAUCGGCAGUAACAUUUAUUGAUAGAGCCAUCUAUUCAUCCCGCAGAUGUCUGAUAAGAACAGUUUUUCAUACUACAUUUAGUGCAUCCAAAAAUAAUGUGUUAUCUUAGAUCCAGAAAACAUUAAUGUUGUAUAUUUAGUGUAGUUAUUCACAUUAAGGGUUGAGCAGCUUUUACUCUAAACUUUACCUUCUGCAUUCUUUCUUCUAAUCUUUGGUGAUACCAUAAUUUUACAGUUGGACUUGUAGUCCAACAAAGAAGGGUAUGAGGUUAAGGGAAAUCGACAGUGGAAAUAAGCUCUACUGACACCUAUCACUGCUCAGUGUUAAAGCUAGUAAAUCAGAGAGAAGAUCACCAUCACUGAAUACUGUCUAAGCACCAAACAUUGUUAGUCUGGACUCUAACUCUCUUAGCAUCAUAAGCUAUAGAUGAGAACAGACAUUGCAUAUGGCUAGUUAGGAUCAAUUAAUUGGUAAUUUGAUCUUCAAGCAAGGAAUAAAACGAAAGAUUAUCAUUUGUAAUCAUGACAAAAUAUUUUCAGCUAGUGUUUCAUAAGAUAAUAAGUUUAUUUGAAAUACAGUCUUUAUAUUGCGACAUCUCAGUCUAUUAAAUUUAAAUGUUUGGAUGGCUUUAUUCUAGCCAUCUCACAAUUUACUAGGAUAAUAAAAGAAUUCAUUUUAACUAAUAACUGCUCACAGAAGGCUUGCUAUGUAAAAACUGAGUUUUAUUGAAUUUGAACCUGAUCUGGCAUUAACAUUCCUGUUUAAAAGAUAUAACAUUUAUUAUGCUGUGUUAUACUCAUAGUCUGCACAUUAGCCCUACCAUUUCCUCAAAGGAGCUUUGUAGAAGUACUGAAAAUGUUCACUUGGAUAAAAUAUGUUUAUUUCAUUAAUAGCUUUGUCACCAAAUUAAAAGUAUAUUUUAAAAUAUACACAAAUUAAGAAUGACUUGGCCAUUUUGCAAGGCGAUCUUUGGACUUCCAGAAGACUCAGAAUCAAUUAAAAGCUGGAUUAGAUUCAUCAUCUUUUCGGGACUCAUUACUUCUUGUCUUAUUAGAUGCUUAAAAAGACUUUUAAGAAAUUUAGUAAAAAUACUUUGAAAGAAUAUUAAUAGGAUUUAUUUUUAUAAGUCUAAAUGGGAUUAGGACAAUAUGUCUAAUGUAUCUGUAUAUUACAAUAUCUUGAGCAUGUCUAAUAAUAAUAGUUAGCACUUACCACUUCCUAUGGCAAGCAACUCAUGUGAUUUACAUACAUUAUCUCAUUUCAUCUUUAUUAUAUCACAUGAGGUAGGUACAAAUUGUUAUAAGUGAGAACAAUGAGAUGUAAAGUGAGACCCAUAUGAUGGCUUGCUCAGGAUAACAUAGCCAAGUCUUAGUGCUAAAGAUAACACAGUCUUUAUUUGGUACAACCAUACAUUAUGUAAAUAGUAACUGGUCUGUGGAAUUUUAAAUAACUUU